rnacentral:rRNA from 1 species
AGGCAAUAGAUACCCGGGUAGUCCUGGCCGUAAACGAUGUCCACUAGAUCCUGGCGCCUCUGACGGCGUCGGGGUCGAAAGUAAAAAAAUGGUAAGUGGACCGCCUGGGAAGUACGGUCGCAAGGCUAAAACUCAAAGAAAUUGACGGGGGCUCACACAAGCGGUGGAGCAUGUGGUUCAAAUUCGAAGCAACGCGCAGAACCUUACCUGGGCUUGACAUGCUUGGAUUACCUCCAUGAAAGUGGAGUAGGCCCCGCAAGGGGAACAACAAGUACAGGUGCUGCAUGGCUGUCGUCAGCUCGUGUCGUGAGAUGUCGGGUUAAGUCCCUUAACGAGCGAAACCUUUGCCCUUAGUUACCAUCGGGUCAUGCCGGGGACUCUAAGGGGACUGCCGGUGUCAAACCGGAGGAAGGUGGAGAUGACGUCAAGUCCUCAUGGCCUUUAUGCUCAGGGCCACACACGUGCUACAAUGGCGCGCACAAAGCGACCCUAAGCCGCGAGGCCAUGGAAAUCGCAGAAAUCGCGCCCCAGUUCAGAUCGGAGGCC